ACAGAUGAAUAGAGUAAUUCACAGUCGUCUCAACUCUCAAGACUCAAGAGGAAGGAAGAGAAGCCUACCAACGUCGCCAAAUCAACUCGCCGGAGUUCCGUUGCAUGUAAUAUGAUAUUGUGGUGAAGUUCUAUUUUAUAUAAUUGAAUGAAUAGAGAGUAGAGAACAAAGAUACCUCGAUGGAGGUCAAAAUCUGGAAAAAGAGUUUUAAAGAAAUAACGGCGUCGUUGCUAAAACACGUUUGAAGAAGAGGAAUAAAGAAAACGUAAUGUUGAAGAAGAAAGCAUAAUGAAAGUCGACAAUUGGAAUUGGAACGAAAGUUGAAGACGUAUUAUUGGAGUAUUUGAUAUGUAUCUAUUAAAAUUUGAAUUGAAAAAGCUGAUUUUUUGGGAUUCUUUGAAAUCUUUAAAAUGAUUCAAAAAAUAAUUAGGAUAUGUAACCAAAGAUUUACGUCAAUUGUUUUUGUUUCCAAAAAAACAUGGAAUUUGAAUUUGAAUUUGAAACCUUGAACCAUUCAAUAAUAA